rnacentral:lncRNA from 1 species
GGCAAGCAAGGUAUUAAGGUCUCGAACAUAUGGAUGUUCAAAGACUAAAUAAUAUCUCGACUUACAAAAGGACACUUCAUAUGUGAUAUGAUGUAUUCUCUAAAAUACUUCACAAAUAUUAUUAUCUCAUUCUGAAAAAUAUCUUAGAAAUUGCUAUAAAUUUUUGAAUUAGAUAUUAUAAAAAAUUAUUACUAGCACUCCAUAUGAGAUAUGGAAAAGGAAG